GCUCCGCCCACCGGCCCAGCCCCGCCCCUUCCCGCGCCCUGACCUGCGGGCGAGCCCCUCGCACCAGCCGGCCAGUCCCGGAGGAUCCCAUCUGCCCAGGGUGUCGGACAGAGGAACCCAUGCCCCUCCCAAUCACCCUCUCAGCAGCCCCAGCCUCCGGAAUUCUCUCAAUUGCUCAAAUGUAUGACCUCAGAUCUCCCAAGAUCCUCCUGCUUCGAAGGCCUCUAACAGGAAGCCUGGGGAAAACAAGCACAGAAGGGCAGAGGGAACGUGACCUAUCCCUGAAGAAGGGAAAAGACCGGACUCCAAGAUGACUCAGCGGCUGGACGGGAAAAGGCAUCUGCUGCCAAUUCUGACAACCUGAGUUCAAUCCCCGGAUCCCACCUGGUAGAAGCCGAAAACUGACUCCAGCAAUUUGUCCUGUGACUUCCACAGGGGGCCCCAAGAGCCUUCAUCCAGUAAUUGAUGGAACCAGAUGCAGAGAUCCACAACCAAGCACCAGGCCCAGCUCCAGGAAUCUAGUCGAAGAGAGGGAGGAGGGAAUAUAUGAGCAAGGGAAGUUAAAAUCAUGAUGGAGAAAUCUACAGAGACUGCUGAACCAAGCUUGUGGAUAUUCAUGAACUCUUGACCAAUAGCUGUGGAGACUCCAUGGAACUGAACUGAGCUAGGCCCUCUGCAUAUUGGAGACAGUUGUGAAGUUUGGGCUAUCUGAGUGCUGCCUGAUGGUAAGACCAAGAUCUAUCCCUGUGCAUGAGCUAGCUUGUUGGAGCCCAUUCCCUAUGAGGGGAUGCCAUGCUCAGCCUUAGUGCAGGGGGGAGGGGCUUGGUCCUGCCUCAACUUAAUGCGCUGAACUUUGUCGACUCCACAUGGGAGCCCUUACCUGUUCGGAGGAAUGGAAUGGGCUUGGGGGGAAGUAAGGGAGGCCGGAGGAGGGGUGGGAGGA